GUGUGAAGACAAAACUCCCAGUCCCCCAGAAAAGUGGAGGCAGAAGAGCAGUGACAAGGCAUUGUGUUCAACUUAAAAAAGGAACGCAUGAAGAAUAGCUUUGUUUGCAUUCUGGUGAGUGUUUCUCUUCCAGAUCUUUGAAUCAGCUUUCUACACGGCUUAAGCGAUGGAACAGGAAAGACUCCAAUAUGGUAACAACGUGAUUUCUAGUGUUUUGGAAAGAUUGUUUCACGUGUAAUGAAAAGCUAGUGUCCAGAUGAUCACUGCGGCCAGAUGGCAAUUUUGAUGCCCUCGUCACUAAGACUUGUCCAAGCCCUGAUGUAUGUGAAGCUCAUCAGGAGGGAAUGCUCGCAAGAAUCAGCUAACACAAUAGCAGCAAGCUUUCAGUGACAGCGUUCAGGAAGGGUGACGAUUCAGGCUGGGAGCAGAUACCUUGGUGUCACUGGAAUCCAUGGAGUUGACACAGUCCUCUGAUGGCUGGAUUUCGGCUUUCUAAGGGUGUAUGGGAACUGUAUAAUCACAGCCUGACCCUCUGUUUGACCACCUGAGGCGAGUGCUGAGUCAGCUGCAGGGGCACAGGUGAUGGCAGUUUCACCUGAGUGACCGGAAGGGGUGGACCCUGGCUGCAGCCCUGCUAGACCCCAUGUAAGGGCUGACUCCCAAGGAGGAAGGCUCUCUCUCUGGAGGUCACCCUUAGUGGAGCUGUUCUGCGCGCCCAGGGUACGGGAAAGCAGUGCGGAGGGAACGUGUGUGGUGAGAUGCUGAGGAGAGAUUGCCUUCCUUGCCCCAGCAGGCUGCUUGUGUCCUGGUGAUGCACGGUGACGAGAAGGCUGCUGUUCUGAACAGCACAAGGCAACAGAGGCGUUGACAGCAGCGAUGGAGAUGGAGAUGUUCAGAGUGGAGGAGCUGUUGGCUCGCUGCAGCCACCCCAGCAUCCCCGGAGGUGGGCACGGGGGGGGGCUUUGGUGCUGCACAAACGACUGCAGGCAGAGGUGUAGGAAAGCGAACGCCAUACGUUUAAUAAUUUAACGUACAAAACAGCAAAUAAAUGAUUAUAUUC
ensembl:lncRNA